UCCGCACCCUCCCCCCGCCAGGGAGCGACAGCCGUGUCGACCAAUCAGAAACCUAGCGCCGCCAGGGCUGGCCCGACUUAGGGGGCGUUCGCCGAAGGAAGAGGCGCGAGGAAGGCUAGUACGGCGGCGCGACUUCCUGUGACUGACAGCACAGAGCAGCCAAUCGGUAACUGAGAGAUGACUUCAUCGCUGAGGGAAAGUCUGGAACUGGCGGAGCGGCCGCCAAGAGGGCACCGCCAACUGGAUAAACCGAAGUAUGAUUGCCCCAGAAUCCAACGUGGAAAACCAGAACAUCAACAGUCAACAAGCCCAGUCUUGAGGGUCUCUUGCAAGACAGCUGUGCUCUUGCAAGGACAGUACUGCUGUGCACAAGGAAAAAGAAAGAAGGUGCUCUCCCUAAAGGUUCUAGAGAACAGAAUCCCCAGCGUGGGAGCAUAACACUGUAGAAGCAGAACCCCCUCAGGGCAUCCUUACAGAGUGGGAAGGCACAGUGACUGGAAGGAGGUAAGGCAUGCUACAUCUCUGAGUGAGUUAUUCUGUAUGGCUUCUGUUCUCCCCCGGAAAUCUCCCAGACUGCUCACUGGUGUGUGGCUCUGUUGGACAGUGAGAAGGAACUGCAUGUCUCUCUAUCCACUGCAGUAAGCCAGCCCGGCCCUGAGUAAUCCCCAGUUAUUCAUCUGCAAGUCAGCUUCAAGUUCCGUACCACGUGUCUCAUCACGGAACCUUGGAGGUAGCCCAGAUCCUGUGGCCUCUUAGUCACACCCUCCACUCCCAAGAUUUAAAAAAAAAAGGAAAAAAAAUCCACAAAAGCCCUAAUAAAAUUAUAUGUUCAACAACUAUAUAUGCUAUAUAAAUAAAAACUUGAAAUAG
ensembl:processed_transcript